rnacentral:lncRNA from 1 species
AGAAGCUGUCUCUCCCAGACAGAGGGGGACCUUGAGUUACCGCAGACUGCCGAGUAAGCACCGAGCAGUCUGACUGUACACUACUGCAGAUGUAAUGGGGGGCCUGGCCCCGAGCCAACAGCUAGCUAGUUAGUUAAAGACGGUGGCAGUUGGGUCAACGCAGCCGUGUAUGGGGUUCUGUCCCCGCAAGGGUGCUUGCCGUUUUUACUAACUACACGUAUGCAACAUUGUGCCAGUAAAAUUGAAACUUCAUCAGCGCCAGCUAGCCGCCCCACCGCUAGCUGGCUAGCGAACUAAUGGAAAUGACUUUAGUAUAACGGGGCUUCAAUCUUCCCACACUUGCCCUGAUGCCAGACUGACUAUGCAGUAGAAAUGCGGCUCUUGCAGAUAAUCAAGACUAUAGGGGAACAGUAUUGCUAUUGGCAAUAUAAUCUGCAUUUUAAACAAUCCAUGGCAAGUAUUAUGAUCCAUGGUACUAGUUUAACCCUCAGACUGAAAUUAACAGGCUAUGAUGGCUCCCCUGAGAAAAGACUGCAGGUCACUCCCGGUUGGACCAAAGGGGAGCAUUAACAAAACAAGUCACCAGUCCUUCCCUUCGCUCCUUCCUGGGAGAAACAAAACACUGUCAUCAUAAAGAACAAAUGGGAGAAAAAAAAUCUAUUUUAAUUUCUGAUUUUUGUAAUCAUGAUGACUCUGAAGUUUCAUACCUUCUCUGUCUAUUUUUGUGAUUUAUUAACACAUUAGAUAGAUGUACAGUAGCUUGUUAGGGACUCUAAGCCUUGAUGAUAUGUUUGUUUUCAGGAAGGAGAGGAAAAGCCUAAUGACACAAAGCAAUGUAAUAGCACAGUCUCCAACAGCAGAGACCUAACCUGAUCCCAGGUCUGUUUGUGCUGUCUUCCAUGGCUUUGGUGACUGCACAAACGGAUCUGGGACCAGGCUAGCAGAGACCCACGUCUACGUUUACGAAUUCUACAGGUGGCCCCUUGUGGGCUGAGUACAGUAACUGACAGGCAGCAGCAUGUCAUCCACUCUGCCACAGAACAAAACACAGUUCAAACAGCAGCAUUAUCCUCCUAUUUAUGUUUUAACACUCACUCAGUUCUACCUGCACUGUUCACACGCUCAACUGCAGUAUGUGAUCGCUCCUUAACACAGUAUUAAGCUAGGCCUAGACCUGUAUCAUUAUCUCUACAAAACACUCUUCAAUGUCUUGGAAGGGAGUGGUUGCACCUCGAAGCGUAACCAUUCAAACGUUGGGUUCACGAUUUUACGUUUUAACAGUCCUAAUUGCUCUGCUCUUUAAGGUGAUUCACACCCUUCAGCUCUCAAAUUCUUCUCUCAUUCUCAAAACUCUUAAUAUUUACACACUCUACAGUAUUUACUGAGGCUAAGAGUCCCCCUUUUUCCAUGUUAGCUAGUAAAUGCUUGGUAGUGUGUUUUUGUAUUUUAAACGUUUAUGGUUUUAAGUAGAUUUGCUUUUUUAAAGUUUUAGAAUGUUUGUUGCUAGUAUAAAACCAUGUGUAGACAGUUAUGUAUGCUGUGAUGUAGCCUAUAGAAGUAGCUAUAGUAGAAAUGCAUUGUUCCCUUGUGGUAAGUGAGUGAGAUGCUGCCACGGAACUGAGACACUGAUGAUUGGUGCUAUUUUGGACUUUAAUCUGCUCCUUGGAAAGGUAGCUGAGAUGGGUUUUCUUGUUUUACUUUCACAUUCUGAGUAAAGAAGGUGUUGGUUCUUUGUUGUCAUGGUUGUUGUAACUUGGUCUGGAUUGGCUUAGUUUUUCUCUGUUUUCUGUGCGGCUUUCUCAUUGGAUUUAAGAUUUGAGGAAAUAUAAACUUUUAUCAUGGUCAAUGUUUUACUAAAGGAAAAGAGGAUUCAUGUGAGAAGAUUUGAGGAUAUACCAUGUUGAUGGGAGCAAUCACAAAACUGCAAUUGUUAAAAACACUAGUUACCCUUUAAUACUGACACGUGCAUUCAAAGGUAUACAAUGUAUCUAGUAGUACCCAGCACUGGUCACUUUUAGAAAAUGUUAAGCUUUUUUUAGUUGGUGUGUUUUGAUUGACAGACAAUCUCGAAACCAGGAGUGCAGUUCUGCCCCUAGCAUGUUUGUGUGUAACGGAGAUCUCUUAAGAGAUUUUGCACACUUACGAGUGAGUUAUGAAUUUGUCACAUGGAAACAUAUAGAAGUCGCCACAGCAUAACGCAAUGUUAAUGUCUGAUAUCUGCUUCAAGUUGAUUAGAAUAAGUAAACAGUAAAACGUAAAAUGAAGGUUAUUUUUUGAAAAGUCAUGCUUUUCAAAAAUGGCACUUGAGAGAACUUGAUAGAGUUAAAUGCUAAAAGGAAUGAACACACUCCAUGUGUUUUAAGGCCCAGCCUGUUUGGGUUUGGGUUCAGGGUUUCAACUUUUCCUCAUCUUCUUCACCAGCUGGAUAUGACUUAAUCCUAUAGAGAGUCAUGUGACUUAAUGUUAGUUAACGUGAGACUGGAAUCACAUGAUGCAUAUAAUCUUGUUUCAAAAAAAUUUAAAUACAUUUUUCCAAAUGUAGCAUAAAGUUAGAAUAGAACAAUCUUUUUAAUUUAUGUAUUUUUUUAAUGAUUUUGUAAAUUAAUGUUGAUGAGAAGCUUACUUUGUUAUAAAACAGACGAACUAAAACCAAAAAGCUUUUUAUUGUUUGUAGCUAUAGAUUUAAAAUAUCAAAGUAAUGUCAGUAUUUGCAGUUUUGUCUUUGCUUCCCUGUUAAUUUAUUUUGUUAAAGAUUCUAAUAUUAAUAUGAUAAUAACCAACUUGAAAGCCCAUGUUAUUAUUCUUUUGUCUUCCAUUCUCCCUCGAUUCUGGGGACCUUUUUGUACCAGCAUGUUCUAGUGUUAUUGAUCGCUUGUUCUCUUCCUCAUUGAGUUGAUUUGUUACACAUUUUUCCUCUUGCAGUUCUUUCCUUUCAGACUAGUUAAUAUGAAAGCUGUUUUGUACAUAGCAAAGUGAAUAGCAUAUACAGGAUGUGCUGUAGUGUGUUGAGUCAGGUAUUCAGUAAUUACCACUGUAUAUGGUUGGAAAAAAAACACGAUAUGCCAGCUUUGCAAAAUUAUUACAACGAUGCACUUAACUUACAGUAUCCCAUGUACUUUUUUUUGGCAAUUUUAAAAGUUGUGCAAUAAAUAUGCAAGCUUGUAAAUUUGUGUUUUUAUUUGAAUCUGUUGAUGUUGCUGGAGUUUUUCCAGUGUUGUAGGAAACUUGUG